GGUUUUUUCCCCCCCUGGAAAUACAUAUCAAUAAGCGGAGGAAAARAARCYAWCRGAACACAGGRUUGCCUCAGUAACGGCGAAGUGAAGCGGCAAACAGCUCAAAUUUGAAAUCUGGCCCCCUUGCGGGGUCCGAGUUGUAAUCUUGAAGAGGAUGCUUCUGGCAAGGUGCCUUCCGAGUUCCCUGGAACGGGACGCCGCAGAGGGUGAGAGCCCCGUACGGUUGGACGCCGAGCCUCUGUGAAGCUCCUUCGACGAGUCGAGUAGUUUGGGAAUGCUGCUCAAAAUGGGAGGUAAACCCCUUCUAAAGCUAAAUACUGGCCAGAGACCGAUAGCGCACAAGUAGAGUGAUCGAAAGAUGAAAAGCACUUUGAAAAGAGAGUUAAAAAGCACGUGAAAUUGUUGAAAGGGAAGCGCUUGCGACCAGACUCGCGCCCGUCGGAUCAGCCGUCGCUCGCGGCGGUGCACUCCGGCGGGCUCGGGCCAGCAUCAGUUCGUUGGGGGGGAGAAAGGCGGCGGGAAUGUGGCUCCACGGAGUGUUAUAGCCCGUCGUGUAAUACCCCCUGGCGGACUGAGGACCGCGCGUAUGCAAGGAUGCUGGCGUAAUGGUCGUCAGCGACCCGUCUUGAAACACGGACCAAGGAGUCGUCCUAAUAUGCGAGUGUACGGGUGUCAAACCCCUGCGCGUAAUGAAAGUGAACGGAGGUGAGAGCUUCGGCGCAUCAUCGACCGAUCCUGAUGYUCUCGGAUGGAUUUGAGUAAGAGCAUAUUGGGCCGGACCCGAAAGAAGGUGAACUAUGCCUGUGUAGGGUAAAGCCAGAGGAAACUCUGGUGGRGGCUCGCAGCGGUUCUGACGUGCAAAUCGWUCGUCAAACCAUGGSCAUGRKGSGMGAARRACUAAUCGAACCUYMUWKYAGCUGGGYYCCKCCGAAGUCCCCCCUUUCAAGGAAAAACUGGGCGCUAUCGGCUCCUUACGCUUCACUUAUCUCGUCUCUCUCUCUUCCUGCUCUGUACUACUGAAUCGCAUGCUAGAACUCCUACGAGUCUUCAUCAGUUUUCUCUGGCAUUGACUACGUGUCAUGACUUCUCGCCGUUUGCAGUUUCGUACCACCCUCUCUAAACUCUAGGAAUCCUGGCAUGGCAUGGAGUCAUGGUCUGACUCUACAUGUCGUAGCUGGUGUAUAUCUGUGGACUAGCAAUCUACGGCAUGGACUCCAUGGCUCGCCUGUC
rnacentral:rRNA from 1 species